rnacentral:rRNA from 1 species
AAAUUGAAGAGUUUGAUCAUGGCUCAGAUUGAACGCUGGCGGCAGGCCUAACACAUGCAAGUCGAACGGUAACAGGAAGCAGCUUGCUGCUUUGCUGACGAGUGGCGGACGGGUGAGUAAUGUCUGGGAAACUGCCUGAUGGAGGGGGAUAACUACUGGAAACGGUGGCUAAUACCGCAUAACGUCGCAAGACCAAAGAGGGGGACCUUCGGGCCUCUUGCCAUCAGAUGUGCCCAGAUGGGAUUAGCUUGUUGGUGAGGUAACGGCUCACCAAGGCGACGAUCCCUAGCUGGUCUGAGAGGAUGACCAGCCACACUGGAACUGAGACACGGUCCAGACUCCUACGGGAGGCAGCAGUGGGGAAUAUUGCACAAUGGGCGCAAGCCUGAUGCAGCCAUGCCGCGUGUAUGAAGAAGGCCUUCGGGUUGUAAAGUACUUUCAGCGGGGAGGAAGGUGUUGUGGUUAAUAACCGCAGCAAUUGACGUUACCCGCAGAAGAAGCACCGGCUAACUCCGUGCCAGCAGCCGCGGUAAUACGGAGGGUGCAAGCGUUAAUCGGAAUUACUGGGCGUAAAGCGCACGCAGGCGGU